GGCAGCAAUCAAGGGAACAGCAUCAAAUCCAGUCACUCUAGUAUUGCCUCCCUCGAUCCUCGAUCACUCGCCUGGACUCGGACCUUGUUUGCUUGCCGCCUGCCCUCGACUCCCUACCUGUCCCCGGAUCUUCCUUGUGCCUAAUCCUCCUUGGGGCGGCAUAGCUCGGUUGGUAGAGUGACCGUGUCAGCAACUUGAGAGUUGCAGGUUCGAUUCCCGCUUGUGCCAUCCUAGUUACUGCCGUUCUGUCCUUGGGCAAGACACUUUACCCACCUGCUUCCAGUGCCACCCACACUGGUUUAAAUGUAACUUAGAUAUUGGGUGUCACUAUGUAAAGCGCUUUGAGUCACUAGAGAAAAGCGCUAUAUAAAUAUAAUUCACUUCACUUCACUUCGCUUGUCCUGACAAAAGUUUCAUUCAACACGCAUGCACAACAUCCUCUUGUUUCAUUCACAUGGUUAACUUCACACUUAAUCCUGCAACCAAUACUAAGAGUAGCAUACACAUCCCACACAAUCAUCAUAGGUUACAAUAAACCUGGUAACCUCACGUCUUUCGUGGUGUCGUCUCCUUCCAGUCUUCACGUACAAAACAGUACGUUCCGGCCAACCAUGUCGGAACCAGACGACACCCCCCCAGUCGAGACUCGCUCCCCAGACUCGGAGCCCACGAAGCCCGGACUUGGAGAUUCCAACACAUGGAGCAGGAGGGGGGAAUAUAGACAGACCAUGGCUACAACAACCAUCUCCCCAUUGAGGAGAUGGUUUUCUUCUCUCCGGCUGGGAUCUGAGGAUUGAUGGGAAAACCGAGGACAAGGGGGAGGAACGCAGAUUUCAGUCAGUACGUCUUGAAUUACAUAGGAAAAAGCGUGUGACUGGGGGUUAUGGCGCAUAAAUAAACCCUGUGAAUCCAUAGCUCUAACAGGUAAAAAGGCCAAAGAAUCAAAAGGACAGCGGAGUGUACAAUAACUGAAAACUCCGUAAAA